CUCCCUUGGGUGAGCGAUUUCGGUGUGUAUUGUGUUAAACUGAAGACGCAGCGGGAAUAUCGAGCGGGUAAUCCUACAGGUCAAGAGAAUCAGGACGGAGAUCGAGCUGCGUAGAGUAGCUGCAAUUGUGUCAAUCUGAAUUGCUUUGUGAGCCGGUGAGGUGUGUUAUGCUCAUUUAGAGCUUUACAAUAUUUCUUGUGAGAGUGAAUUGUAAUAAUGAACUCGAGGUUUCGAGAUUUGAAGUUUGUGUAUCGUGUGGUGAGGUUGUUUUGAGAAAAAAAUUCAGAACGUUUAUUUGAUUAAGUGGUUUAAUUCAUGUUUCGGAUUUGAACUUAU